UACGUAGGGGGCGAGCGUUGUCCGGAUUUACUGGGCGUAAAACGCUUGUAGGCGGCCACGCCAAGUCGGCUGUGAAAUCUCCCGGCUUAACUGGGAGGGGUCAUUCGAUACUGGCGGGCUCGAGGCAGGUAGGGGGAAGCGGAAUUCCCGGUGUAGUGGUGGAAUGCGUAGAUAUCGGGAGGAACACCAGUGGCGAAGGCGGCUUCCUGGACCUGUUCUGACGCUGAGGAGCGAAAGCGUGGGGAGCGAUCCGG
rnacentral:rRNA from 1 species